GAUCUCUUGUUUUAUCUCUCUGUCUUUCUGUCUCUCUCUCUCUCUCUCUCUUUCCGUCUCCGAAGUGCGGAGUGAGAGAGAGAGAGAGAGAGAGAGACAGAGAGAGUUUAUAACUUUA